CCUUUUGUAGUUUAAAAUAAAAUAUCACCUUUUCAAUGUGAAGAAGUCUCUUAUCCAAAAGUU
rnacentral:tRNA from 1 species